AUUGAACGCUGGCGGCAGGCCUAACACAUGCAAGUCGAGCGGAGCGGCGGACGGGUGAGUAAUGCCUAGGAAUCUGCCUGGUAGUGGGGGAUAACGUCCGGAAACGGGCGCUAAUACCGCAUACUAUCAGAUGAGCCUAGGUCGGAUUAGCUAGUUGAUUGGGUAAAGGCCUUCCAAGGCGCCGAUCCGUAACUGGUCUGAGAGGAUGAUCAGUCACACGGGAACUUAGACACUGUCCGUAAUCCUACGGGAGGCAGCAGUGGGGAAUAUUGGACAAGGGGCGAAAGCCUUAUCCAGCCAUGCCGCGUGUGUGAAGAAGGUCUUCGGAUUGUAAAGCACUUUAAGUUGGGAGGCGUUACCAACAGAAUAAGCACCGGCUAACUACGUGCCAGCAGCCGCGGUAAUAC
rnacentral:rRNA from 1 species